rnacentral:lncRNA from 1 species
GAGAAUUUCAAGUGCGACUAUUGGAAAAUCCAAGAGGCUGAAAGGAGUUUCUCGUCCAAAGGAUCACUGUGGUGUUGGAAAAGUUGAAUCUGAACGGCCUAGCAAUGUGGGUGUGUCAAAGAAGUAUUCGAGUACCAUUGAAUCUGAACGGCCUAGCAAUGAGGGCGUGUCAAAGAAGUAUUCGAGUACCAUUGGAUCUAAAGGGCCUAGCAAUGAGGGUACCAUUGAAUCAAAUGUAGAAAACAAAAUCGUCAGACCAACCCAAAACAGU